UUUGGGUUAGAUGGAAAAGGAUUGCAGAAGAAGAAGCCUCUUGCACAAGUAGCUGGGUUUUGUUGACUUUAAAUCUUCUGGGAAAAACAUGUCAAGUCAUUUUGAAUUGCUCCUUUGGCUCUUAUUGCCUUCACACUGAUUAAUGAUGAUUAUGACAUCUGAAGUUAAGUUGCAGAGGGCCAAGACUCCCACUUAAAAUCUGUCACUAUUCGGAACCUGUUCUUGAGCAUCACAUUGACGAAGUGAUCGAAGUUGAACCAUUGUAUUGAAAUCUACUCCAUUCAGAUUAUCUGAAAUAGGCGCUUUGUUAAAGAGUUGUGAAAGCUGCACCCACUAUCGCAGCUACAAAGAAUCAAAACAUUAUAGCUUGCAGGAUUCUCUACAACUCUCUAGUACUUCGAAUCUAUCAGCUAUUGGUGCAGAACCCAAUUUAAUAGUCUGAAAUAGGUGCUUUGUAAAAGAAGUGUGAAAGAAGCAGAACUUUCUAGCAAUCAAGAUUCCUCACAACUCUCUUGGAUUCGCCUGAUGAUGAAAAUGGAAGCAAAGAAAAUUUGACAGACAUGUUUGUUAUAUCCUCUAAAUCUGAAGCCGGCUUAAACAUCAUAUUUUGAGUCUGAAAGUGUCCAAAAAAGUCUGUUCAGAAAUUUAAUGAUCUUGUGAGUACCUUCUGAAUGUAUAUGGCUAGCUUGCAUUUGUGCUAAUCAAACAUAUUGGUCAUUGUAGUCUUAUCCUUUAUUUCAGCUAAAUGAAAUUAGAUUUUAUGCUUC